UACGUAGGUGGCGAGCGUUGUCCGGAUUUACUGGGCGUAAAGGGAGCGUAGGCGGACUUUUAAGUGAGAUGUGAAAUACUCGGGCUCAACUUGAGUGCUGCAUUUCAAACUGGAAGUCUAGAGUGCAGGAGAGGAGAAUGGAAUUCCUAGUGUAGCGGUGAAAUGCGUAGAGAUUAGGAAGAACACCAGUGGCGAGGGCGAUUCUCUGGACUGUGACUGACGCUGAGGCUCGAAAGCGUGGGGAGCAAACAGG
rnacentral:rRNA from 1 species